CAACAACAGACUCGGUGAAAUUGUAAUUCCGGUGAAGAUGCCGGAUACCUGCGACAGGACGGAAAGACCCCAUGGAGCUUUACUGUAGCUUGACAUUGGGUCUUGGUACUACAUGUACAGGAUAGGUGGGAGGCUUUGAAACCAGGACGCCAGUUUUGGCGGAGCCAUCCUUGGGAUACCACCCUUGUAGUACUGGGACUCUAACCAUAGGCCAUGAAUCUGGUCUUGGGACACUGUCAGGUGGGCAGUUUGACUGGGGCGGUCGCCUCCCAAAAGGUAACGGAGGCGCUCAAAGGUUCUCUCAGUACGGUCGGAAAUCGUACGUAGAGUGUAAAGGCAAAAGAGAGCUUGAUUGCAAGACAUACAGGUCGAGCAAGGAUGAAAAUCGGACUUAGUGAUCCGGUGGUUCUGCGUGGAAGGGCCAUCGCUCAACGGAUAAAAGCUACCCUGGGGAUAACAGGCUUAUCUCCCCCAAGAGUCCACAUCGACGGGGAGGUUUGGCACCUCGAUGUCGGCUCAUCACAUCCUGGGGCUGUAGUAGGUCCCAAGGGUUGGGCUGUUCGCCCAUUAAAGUGGUACGCGAGCUGGGUUCAGAACGUCGUGAGACAGUUCGGUCCCUAUCCGUCGCAGGCGUAGGAAAUUUGAGAAGACCUGUCCUUAGUACGAGAGGACCGGGAUGGACGUACCUCUGGUGUACCAGUUGUCCUGCCAAGGGCAUGGCUGGGUAGCUAUGU
rnacentral:rRNA from 1 species